UACGGGAGGCAGCAGUGGGGAAUAUUGCACAAUGGGCGCAAGCCUGAUGCAGCCAUGCCGCGUGUAUGAAGAAGGCCUUCGGGUUGUAAAGUACUUUCAGUCGUGAGGAAGGUGUUAAGGUUAAUAACCUUAGCAAUUGACGUUAGCGACAGAAGAAGCACCGGCUAACUCCGUGCCAGCAGCCGCGGUAAUACGGAGGGUGCGAGCGUUAAUCGGAAUUACUGGGCGUAAAGGGCACGCAGGCGGUUAAUUAAGUUGGAUGUGAAAUCCCCGGGCUUAACCUGGGAAUGGCAUUCAAGACUGGUUAGCUAGAGUCUUGUAGAGGGGGUAGAAUUCCAUGUGUAGCGGUGAAAUGCGUAGAGAUGUGGAGGAAUACCGGUGGCGAAGGCGGCCCCUGGGACAAAGGACUGACGCUCAUGGUGCGAAAGCGUGGGGAGCAAAC
rnacentral:rRNA from 1 species